rnacentral:rRNA from 1 species
AGCGAACGCUGGCGGCAGGCCUAACACAUGCAAGUCGAGCGGGCAGCGCAAGGGGUCAGCGGCAUACGGGUGAGUAACACGUGGGAACUUGCCCUUCGGUCCGGAAUAACUCGGGGAAAGACGUGCUAAUACCGGAUACGCCCUUACGGGGAAAGAUUUAUCGACGAGGGAGCGGCCCGCGUCUGAUUAGCUAGUUGGUGAGGGAAUGGCUCACCAAGGCGACGGUCCGUAGCUGGUCUGAGAGGAUGAUCAGCCUCACUGGGACUGAGACACGGCCCAGACUCCUACGGGAGGCAGCAGUGGGGAAUAUUGGACAAUGGGCGCAAGCCUGAUCCAGCCAUGCCGCGUGGGUGAUGAAGGCCUUAGGGUUGUAAAGUCCUUUUAACGGGGAAGAUAAUGACGGUACCCGUAGAAUAAGCCCCGGCUAACUUCGUGCCAGCCGCCGCCGUAA